rnacentral:rRNA from 1 species
CGGCUUCUGGGAUCCGAUUAGAGUUUGAUCCUGGCUCAGAUUGAACGCUGGCGGCAGGCCUAACACAUGCAAGUCGAACGGCAGCACAGAAGAGCUUGCUCUUUGGGUGGCGAGUGGCGGACGGGUGAGUAAUGUCUGGGAAACUGCCCGAUGGAGGGGGAUAACUACUGGAAACGGUAGCUAAUACCGCAUAACGUCGCAAGACCAAAGUGGGGGACCUUCGGGCCUCACACCAUCGGAUGUGCCCAGAUGGGAUUAGCUAGUAGGUGGGGUAAUGGCUCACCUAGGCGACGAUCCCUAGCUGGUCUGAGAGGAUGACCAGCCACACUGGAACUGAGACACGGUCCAGACUCCUACGGGAGGCAGCUGUGGGGCAUAUAUUGGCACCAUUGGGGCGCAAGCCUGAUGCAGCCAUGGCGGGUGUUAUGAAGAAGGCCUUCGGGUUGUAAAGUACUUUCAGCGGGGAGGAAGGCGGUGAGGUUAAUUACCUCGCCGAUUGACGUUACCCGCAGAAGAAGCACCGGCUAACUCCGUGCCAGCAGCCGCGGUAAUACGGAGGGUGCAAGCGUUAAAUCGGAAAUUACUGGGCGUAAAGCGCACGCAGGCGGGUCUGUUAAGUCAGAUGUGAAAUCCCCCGGGCUUAACCUGGGAAACUGCAUUUGAAACUGGCAGGGCUUGAGUCUCGUAGAGGGGGGUAGAAUUCCAGGUGUAGCGGUGAAAUGCGUAGAGAUCUGGAGGAAUACCGGGUGGCGAAGGCGGCCCCCUGGACGAAGACUGACGCUCAGGUGCGAAAGCGUGGGGAGCAAACAGGAUUAGAUACCCUGGUAGUCCACGCCGUAAACGAUGUCGACUUGGGAGGUUGUGCCCUUGAGGCGUGGCUUCCGGAGCUAACGCGUUAAGUCGACCGCCUGGGGAGUACGGCCGCAAGGUUAAAACUCAAAUGAUUUGACGGGGGCCCGCACCAGCGGUGGAGCAUGUGGUUUAAUUCGAUGCAACGCGAAGAACCUUACCUGGCCCUUGACAUUCCAGAGAACUUAGCCAGAGAAUGCCUUUGGGUGCCUUCGGGAGCUCUGAGACAGGUGCUGCAUGGCUGUCGUCAGCUCGUGUUGUGCAAUGUUGGGUCUAAGUCCCGCAACGAUGCGCAAAUCCCGUUAGUCAGUUUGUUGCCAGCGGUUCGGCCGGGAACUCAAAGGAGACUGCCGGUGAUAAACCGGAGGAAGGUGGGGAUGACGUCAAGUCAUCAUGGCCCUUACGGCCAGGGCUACACACGUGCUACAAUGGCGCAUACAAAGAGAAGCGACCUCGCGAGAGCAAGCGGACCUCAUAAAGUGCGUCGUAGUCCGGAUUGGAGUCUGCAACUCGACUCCAUGAAGUCGGAAUCGCUAGUAAUCGUAGAUCAGAAUGCUACGGUGAAUACGUUCCCGGGCCUUGUACACACCGCCCGUCACACCAUGGGAGUGGGUUGCAAAAGAAGUAGGUAGCUUAACCUUCGGGAGGGCGCUUACCACUUUGUGAUUCAUGACUGGGGUGAAGUCGUUAAACAAGGUAACCGUAAAUCUAGAUGCCUUUCGGGAAGAGCAAGA